AUCCAUUCUCCUUUGUCUGACCUGCCCACUGAAUUUUUAAAUGGCCGCAGUAUAUUAACUGUGCAAAGGUAGCAUAAUCAUUAGUCUUUUAAUUGAAGGCUGGAAUGAAUGGUUGGACGAAAUAUUAACUGUUUCAUAUAAAUUUAUAAUAAAAUUUUAUUUUUUAGUCAAAAAGCUAAAAUUAAAUUAAAAGACGAGAAGACCCUAUAAAUCUUAAUAUUUUUAUUAUUAUAAUUAUAUAGAUUAAUUUUAUUAUAAUAAUUAAAUAUAUUUUAUUGGGGUGAUAUUAAAAUUUAAUAAACUUUUAAUUUAUUAAAUCAUUAAUUUAUGAAUAUAUGAUCCAGUUUUACUGAUUAAAAAUUUAAGUUACUUUAGGGAUAACAGCGUAAUUUUUUUGGAGAGUUCAUAUCGAUAAAAAAGAUUGCGACCUCGAUGUUGGAUUAAGAGAUAAAUUUGGGCGCAGCCGUUCAAAAGUUAAGUCUGUUCGACUUUUAAAUUCUUACGUGAUCUGAUUCAGACCGGAGGGUAUUUGACU
rnacentral:rRNA from 1 species